GCUCUGAGCGGAAAGGACACAAACAGGUAGAAGAUAAAAUAAGUGAGACGCUGUAUGAUAGCCUUCACUGACCUGCUGGUCUCCCUUUGGUCUUAAGAACAGUGCUCCCAACCUUCAUCUUCUCAUAAUCCUGAAAUCUCUAAGGUCCUUUCCUCACCAAGUGCGUUCUCUCAGACAUUUCUACCUGUUAAGUCCGAGUGCCAAACCAAAUCUCAUGGUCUUCUCCCCUGUCCUUUUUCCUGUCUGCUAGAAAGCUCACUCCACUUUCCUGUCCCCCCUUGCAUUUACGUUUGUUGAGUCAGAUCCUAAGGUUCGGUGCCUGUAGUAGAAUCUUACUCAGGCCAUCACCAGUGUCUAGAUGCAGAUCUUUCUUCGCUGUUCUUUCUCCUUUAGCUUGACUUUCGAGUGUGGCUCAAUUCUGAAGGUCUUUUUAAAGAUGACAUCUACUCUAAACCUUUACAUUCAGAGUCCUUCCUGUGUUGUGUCUCCCGGCUACCUAUCAUUAGGAUGCUGGCUUGAUCAUUCAUCCCUCAGCCGUUGUUGCUACUAGCUGUGGGGUUCCUUUGAAAUUUCCCUUUCUCUUUUUAGGGAGUACCUUGGCUCCCUCCCAUGUCCCAUCUCAAAUGUCAGCUCCCUGUAGUUACCUUGGCCAUUUACAGGCAGAAUUAGUUCUCAGCCUUUUUUCACAUGGCUAGUAGUUGUUUAUGGAUCAGUCACCUCUCACAGUUUAAGGGCAUACUUAACCUCUAGGGGCAGUACUCUGAUACACUCCUUUGGCUAGAACUUGACAGCUACAGGUUCUGAAGGGUGGGGUCCCAGAGACACACAGGGUGGGUGGAUGGGAAAGGGGACUUGCAGGUUCAGUAGCUUUUAGCAGGUGCCAUGUGCUCCUGAAUUACCGCAGAACCAAAGAAAACUGGUGUCAGUAUUCCAGAUGUCCUCUACAAGCUCUAGGUGUGUGGUGUGAAAAGUGUCCAACUCUGCAAGUCAGUGACAGUGACUUCAUCUUGUCUACACUGAGUUGUAGCAGGCAGUGCCAUAUACAUAGCAGUGCAAACCUGUAAUCCCAGCAUGCAGAAGGUUGUGGAGUGUGAUCACAAGUUCUAGGCCAGUGUGUGCUUCAUACUGAGGCCCCGUUUGAAGGCAUGUUUCUGAUCUAUCUUAGAAUGGAAGCCCUUCUGGCUAUGUGACACUCUACUGGAUGCCAAUUAGAGUCUAAGGUGGACAGUGUAAGAGCCAGACCUUAGGGGCUAGUGAGUGGAAAUGCUGAUAUGACGGCAGAAGUCACCCGAAACAUUAGUCACCCUCAGUGACUUGUCAUACUUACGUGUAUAAUAGACCUGGUGGUUUUGAUUUAAAACGUGGGCACUAGACCAGGUGGUAGUGGUGCACACCUUUAAUCCUAGUACUCAGAAGGCAGAGACAAGCAGAUCUCUGAGUUCGAGGCCAGCCUGGUCUACAGAGUGAGUUCCAGGAAAGCCACGGCAAUUACACAGAGAAAUCCUGUCUGGGGGCAGGGGGAUGUGGGUACUAAAAUUGUCUCUUAGGGUUGAAUGUGUACCUUUAAGGCAGAUCUCUGAGUUUGAAGCCAGCUUGAUUUACACAAGUUUUAGACAAGCCAGGGUUAUAUAGUGAGACCCUGUCACGAAAAUGAAAGCAUAUUCCUCAGCACAGAAGGCAGAAAUAAUAGGGUGCAGAUGAUCAGAGAUCAUGUCUAUAUACAGGCAAGCUGAAAUCAUGUGAUAGGGUGAUCCUUCACCUUACCCUAAGGAAAUAAUGAAGAAGCAGGAAAGUGAUUGGAGUAUGGUAAUGCACAUCUAUAAUCCCAGCCUCUGGAGGUGGAGACAGGAAGAAGGAAUUCAAGGCCAGUUGUCUACAAAGUGAGUUUGAGCCCAACUUGGGCUAUAUGAGAUUCUGACACAUUGAAAAAGAAAAAAAGAUUAAAACCUUUGGGACAUAUGUAGGUUCUAGUAAUAAAUGGAGUGCUGAAGGUCACUCCAGAAAUAAUGAAGCAAACCAGAUAAAAGAUAAAGCUCAGGAAUCUUAUCCCUAAUGAGUUUCUGAAGAAAAGGCAAGGUCUGGUUGGUCUGGAAGAUACAAGGUAUUAAAGACAGCAUUUCAAUCAAUUUAAGACCGCCGUAACACCUGCCCAGGCCUUCCUGUAAUUUGUCAGUGAGAACACAUGGCUGGCUCACUUUUUUUUUGGUCGGGGGAGGGAUGUUUUGAGAUAGGGUUUCUCUGUAACAGCCCUAGCUGUCCUCGAACUCACAGAGAUCCGCCUGCCUCUGCCUCCCAAGUACUGGAAUUAAAAGUGCACCACCACCACCUGGCUCUAGCUCACUUUUGUGUUUUGACUUUUGACUCCUCUUAAUCCAGGUCUUAUUCUAUUCCUGUUGAGAGGAUAAAAGGAGCCCCGAUUCUGGAUUUAGUUUGAAGUACAGACAACAGCUUAGUGCUGAUUACAGGGUAAUGUGAUUGGCUCUGCUUCCAAAGGUGGUGAAACGGUAUUUUAUGGUAACAAGCUGGGACUGGCAGGAUAGGACUGGACCUUAUCAGAGAUUACACGGUCUGGUAAAUUGAGCCAGGCUGCCCUCACCUGCAAAGAGUUAGGAUGCAUGCAUGUUCUAAGCACUAGAAUCCAAGGUGUCAUAGUUGGAAAUACUAGUCUCUCCAUGUAGUGCCCUAGAUAUUAUUGAGUCCUUGGAAUGCUCACACAGCCGGUUCUUAUAACUCUUUGAAAAUUAGAAAGAUUAGAUAAGCAUUUAAUUUGACUCCCAACUAAACUUUUCACUCAACAUACAAUAAAUGUUUGCUGAAUACUGAAGUGUUAGGCAUAGUGCUAGGUACUGGUGUUGGGGGAAAUUCCCUGAUGCUGGUUUGCAGUGGAAAAGGAAAAGUGGCAAUGGUGAGGGACAGCGGGUCCUCUGACUCACUCCAGAGGAGCUGCCUUGAGGGCUGGACAUUAGCUACUCUACCAGACGUUGCCGGUUAGCUGAGCCAAGGCAUUGACUAGAUCAGGAAAGAGUUCCAGGAAGAUCAGGUUCAGGCGACAGCUGUGAGUCAGAUGAGAGGUGCUGGUGAUGGGGUGACAGUUAAAGGCUCGUCUUUAUACUGCCUCAUCUUUCACAUCACUGUUUGGCUGCAUGGGCUGAAGGGCCAAGACUAGAAUCAUGCAAGAGGGAACCUAGGAUGUAAAACUGAAGGGGGCUAGUGCUUGAUGGUGGAACUUUGUGUCUGGGUGCCUCACCUGCCGCUGCGUCACGGCGAGGAGACCUGCCUUGUCACUCUGCCGCUCUAGUUCACCUCUGCUUUGGCAGUGUCGCACAAGUCUCUGGCUUUACGUCCACACUGGAGUAUUCUCCAGUGACCUCUUCCCUACAGCCACAGUAGCUACAGAUCGCGUUGCUGGUGUUUCUGAGACAGGAGACUGGCAUGUGCUACAGAUCUGGACAGGUAGCCAGAGCAUGGUUUGCAGGUGGGGGAGUCGGCUAGAUUCUGGCCCUAAGGUCAGGGACUAUUUGGCUUCCUACGGUAAGAGCUUUCCUCUUUGUCUGAAGUUGGUGAUUUACUGGCUUUCUACAGCACCAUCUCCAGCUUGAGAUGGAGCCUUUCAGACCAGUUCCCUGCCUGCCUUAAGCUGCUGGCUGACCUGCCCAGAUCUUUCCUGAGAAAACUCCCUGGAACUCCUAAUCUCAUAUUUGUUCUAGUCAAUAAAACCAAUAAAAUGUAUAGCUAAAUAUGAUAUACACAGUAAUUGAAAUUUUUUAUGGGGAGGGUGUGUAGAGCCUCAAACUCACUAUAUAGGCAAGGGAUGACCAUGUCUAUAUCUUCAAGUGCUGGGAUUACAGGCAUGUACCACUCACUACACCUGACAUAGAAAUUUUACAAAUAAAUUCACAAGCCAACACAACAAAAUUAUCAAACCACAGUCCAAAUUUUGGGGUCAUAAAGUAUACCUCAUUUAUGGUUAAAAUUUCUGAGAUCUGGGGGUCAUAUUUUUUUCUUUUCUAGCUUUGAAAACAGGCCAGCCAAGAUGGCUGAGUGAACAGACACCAUGCCUGACAAGCUGAGUCCAGUUUCCAAGACCCACAUGUAGAAGGGAGGACAAUUCCCAUCAGUUGUCCUCCCACCCCCACACGGGUCCCACGACAUGCGCCCUGCCCACAGACACACAAUAAAUAAGUAUAAAUAAAUAAACCCGAUAGCCUGCUGUGCUAGAAGCCAGAGAGCCAGAGGUGUGGAAGCAAAUGUCACGUGGUAGGACAGAUCACCCUAGACAAGUAAGUUUUCUCAAGAGUUGACUGAAGAUGCCAUGUCCAGAUGUUAGUCUGCACUGCAGCCCUAUCUAAAAUCAGAGCCAGUCUCCCUUCCUUGGGGUCUUAAAGAACAGUGCCAGCAAAUGCCUGGCAGAACGCUUUUACGAUUCCUAGGGCCUCACUUUUUAACUCCGUACAGUGUCAUUUUGAUAGUAACUUUCAUCUUGACCCCUUGACUUCAAAGCCAUAGUUUUCUGCUUUUACAAAUACUUAUUCAAGUCUUGGGGGCAUCUCUUCUCUACCCAGCUCUUUCUGUUCCAAGCUCGUUCACCCAGGAACAUGCCUUCUCACUUGACGUUACUGGCACUUCUAUCUAUGUGCUUCCUGCCAGCUUUUGUUCCCCCAUCCCCACCCGAUUCCAGUCCAUGCGUUGGUCAUAAACAUCUGACCCAGAACCUCUUAUCAGGUGAGACCUAAAACUUACUAAUGUCUAUUGUGCCAUUGUGCACAUUGAUGAACAGGGAUAUACGCUGAUUUAUAUGUCUGGAAUAGAAGCUGUUUCAGUUCUGCUUCUCCUUGGAAGAACUGGGAUCUUGAAUUACUAUCUGAAUAGCCGUGAAGCCAGGAAGUAUCAGCCCACAGAGGCCGUGGACAGUGCUCAUCAUUCUACAGUGCUAGUUUGAAUUUCCUCCUCCUGCCAACAAGAAGACACUGCAACAUUGUCCUCGAUAUGGAAGUUCCAUGUCUGGGUUUGGCUCUGCUUUAGCUAGUGUUUUGUCCUUGGAAAUGUCCCUGGCUCCUAGCAUGUGCUGAAGCUACAACCCCCAGGCCUUCUUCCUGUGGCCGGCCAUACACAGUACUGCUCUGAAGUCGUGCCGCAGGAACAACAUUCGCAGGAGAGGCUGGAGGUUCUUCUGCUACAGACUAGUUUAUUAAGUCACCCCUUGUGUGUCUUCAAGCUCUCUUCCCCCAGCAAUGCCCCAAACAACCGAACAUCUGCUGCAGGGUUGCCCAGACCGGCUUACCUCUGACAGGGCCCAGCACCCGAUGGCUGACCUUCUGGGUGCUGGAGCUCAGGCCUGGCAGCCCUGCAGGCCGACUGCCAUGAAAAGGGAAGCUGGGAGAGUUCUUCAUCUGUGGAGAGUUUUGUUGGCUGCCGCCGCCACCGCCACCGCCACCACCACCGCCACCUGUGCCAGUGCUGAAACUUCGAGCUCGGCUCAAGGCAUUUUCAGAGCAGGAGACGGGUACUCCACUGCAAAGAAGCAGACACCAGUUAAGGCCUGGGGAGAAGGGUCCUAAGGCUUCCUUAGGACACAGCAAUUAAAAUUCACUUCCCGCCUCAAAGGGCAUAGGAACCCAUUCCCAGGAAGGAAGGAAAGAGGGAAUGCAUGCCCAUGGAUGGAGAAUCUAACUUGGGACAAAGCCCCUAAUCUUGGAAGGGUCAUCCUAAGUAGCUUUAUUUCAUAAAGGAUUUCUCCCUUAUUUUGUUGGUGCUGGCUCUAGAACCCUGGCCACAAAGACAGGGGUUUUCUGCACUGUUCUGGAUCUAGGAAUCCCCUGGACUGAUUUUCAGCUCCCUCAGCUGUAGCUCUAGGUGAAAGGGGCGAGGCUCCUAUUCUCAAAAACUGAAGUAAUCUCACCAGUUUUCAUUUACCCAGGACCCACCACGUGGCACCCCCUCCUCACCCACCCCUAGAGCUUGCCAACCGUCCAGCACCCUGCUGUGCCCUGCUGCUGGUCUUACUUGUUACUUUUGGGAGGAGUCCGCGAGCCUCUCUUCUUGUUCACGCCCACAUUCACAGUGCUGGUCAGACCCCUGCUGUUGCGCACAUGCUUCAGCAUCCAGGCCCGCAGGUUCGUGAGGCUGUUGUGUUCUGACAGCACAAUCCGGGGCCAUGGGUUACAUUCGGCCAUGUCCAGAGCUGCGAUGGCCAUCGCUCUUCCCACCUGUGGGGAGGUCAGCGUGGGUCAGUGUCUUUGUCCUCUAGUCUAGCUGCUGUUUGGGGUGUGGUACACAGCACAACAGGAGAGAAGCAGCCAGAUGUAACAGUGGGUACCCUGGAGUUUGUGCCCAGGUUCUUUAACUCAAGUCUAUCCACAGCUCGCUGCUCUGAGCAGGGGCUGGGGUGCUUUUGGUUGACACUAUGAGUGAAUUUCCCAGGAGAAAGACUUUGUAUCUGUUACAACCUGAAGUUCUCUUUCUUUUAUUUGCCUAGAAAAAGACACAUUAAGACUAUAAUAAUGGGUGCUUUUGAAUGUAGGGGUGAAUCAAUCCACGAGGAAGAUCAGCUGAGCCCAGGUGAUUUACUUCGAUGUGCCAGGGUUGGGAUCAGAAAUCAUGCCUGUGUUCCUGCCUGUUACCAUGACAGUCACCUGAAGAAAAUAAACAACCCUGCAGAGCACCUGA